rnacentral:misc_RNA from 1 species
GAUGAAGAACGUAGCAAAAUGCGAUAAGUAAUGUGAAUUGCAGAAUUCAGUGAAUCAUCGAAUCUUUGAACGCACAUUGCCCCCGCUGGUAUUCCGGCGGGCAUGCCUGUUCGAGCGUCAUUUCAACCCUCAAGCCCCCGGGUUUGGUGUUGGGGAUCGGCUCUGCCCUUCUGGGCGGUGCCGCCCCCGAAAUACAUUGGCGGUCUCGCUGCAGCCUCCAUUGCGUAGUAGCUAACACCUCGCAACUGGAACGCGGCGCGGCCAUGCCGUAAAACCCCAACUUCUGAAUGUUGACCUCGGAUCAGGUAGGAAUACCCGCUGAACUUAAGCAUAUCAAUAAGCGGAGGA